AGACGAAUAUAGUAUUUAAAUAUCGUCGGCUACAGUUGCUGGUUUUUGAAAAAAAAAAACUGAAGAAACUUUCGGACCCCUCCAAUCACCACCAAAAUUUGAAAGAAUCUUCCUCUCAACAUUUCGAACAACUUUCUAGAAGAAGUCGAAACCCAAUUCUAAGCCUAAAUAGGUCAAUUGAAUCAAAAUAUAAAAAUCCCCAAUUUUAAACCCUAAAAAUUUCAAAUCUUCGAUUCUCCUCACACACACCGAAUCGAGCUACCAAAUUGUAGGGGAAUGUAGUACUAAUCAAACUCAACUUAUCCAUAUAUAGAACUCACCAAAUGGUGACCUGAGGAAGGAGAAAUUCGAUCGACACCGAAUCCGAACCGGCGGAGUUUUGGAGCUCGAUUUAUCCCUCACGGCGGCGCCACUCGAUGCACCACCUGUCCAGCAAUGAAGUGGAGAUGACGGCGAAGCUUUUGGGACAAGUGUGGCGGUCUCCGGUUGCUUGACGGCGGAGCUAGGCCGAGAAGAAAAUUCAGAACUUUUUCUGAUUUUCUGACUUGUUACCAUCCACCUCCGGUAAAACUCCUAUAUAAAGAACUUUACUCGACAAAAUUCUUUAUUUUCGUCAGUUAAACUCUUUUGAAAAUUUUGGUUGACAGCCAAAAAAUUUUGGUUGAAAAUUUUGAAAAUUUUUUGACAAUAGCCGACGAGAUUUUGAAUAUUUUCGUCGGCUAAAGUCCUUUGAAAAUUUUCCUCCAAAUUUGGUUUACCGCAAAAAAAAUUUUGACCUUAGCCGACGACUUUUUAAUAUCUCGUCGGCUAAAGUCUAUAAAUUCACGAAAAUGCUCAUAUCUCCCUCUAUAUUACGUAGUUUGGUCAAACCUUCUACACGAAAAACUUUCACGUAGAUGAGACGCAAUCGCCUAUAUAAAAAUUUGAGACAUUUACCUUCCGACGAUAGGGCUCCCCAUAAGGAAUAAUAACGGUAAAUAGGGUUGACCACUACUAUCGGCACCGAGACGUUACCCGAUUUACGUGAUUUUUGAACCAUAUCCGUAUUUCACCAUUCUGAACACAUCUUAUUUGAUGAGAUUUUUGAUAAUUUUGCUUCCUAUAUAGAGUUGGUUCACAAAGUUAUGUAACCUACCAAACAAGUUAUACAACAUUUGUAUACACGUUGUAAUUCCGAUGAGUAAAAUUCACAAACCAAAAUUCGACCGUCAGAUAUGAUCAUUAUUAUGAAAGAUGUCUAUGGUAAAAAAUUCAACUGGAUCUGACAACGUUAAGGGCUCGAUCGAAACGGUCAACCCUAAUCCAUUGUCACUUAUCACACGAAAACGCUCAUAUAUCCCUCUGUAUUACAUAGUUUGGUCAAACCUUCCACAUGAAAAACUCUCACGUAGAUGAGACGCAAAUGUCCAUAUAAAAAUUUUGAAACAUUUACCUUCCGACGAUAGGGCCCCCCAUAGGGAAUAAUAACAGUAAAUAGGGUUGACCGCUACUAUCGGCACCGAGACGUUAUCCAGUUUACGUGAUUUUUGAACUAUAGCCGUAUUUCAUCAUUCUGAACACAUCGUAUUUCACAAGAUUUUUGAUAAUUUUGCUUCCUAUGUUGUAUAACCUACUAAACAAGUUAUACAACAUUAGUAGACACGUGAUUCCGAUGACUAAAAUUCACAAACCAAAAUUCGACCGUCAGAUAUGAUCAUUAUGACGAAAGAUGUCUAUGGUAAAAAAUUCAACUAGAUUCAACAACGUUAAGGGCUCGAUCGAAACGGUCAACUCUAAUCGGAAAUAAGAAAACUGCAUUUUAAAGCCUAAAUGGACUCGGAUGGCCAAAAAGGACCAUAUGUCAUAGCAAAGCGAUGAGUUUGACUCGUAGGGCCGUUACGCUUCCGGAAAGGUAUCACAAUAGUCAAUCGGACGCCGAAUGCUAAAUCUACAGCAUAGUCAAUACUGGGUUUUGACUGUUCUACAUCAGAGACCUUACCCGAUUUACUUGAUUUUUGAGCCAUAGCCGUAUUUCACCGUUCUGAACACAUCUUAUUUCAUGAGAUUUUUGUUAAUUUUGCUUCUAUGUAGAGUUGGUUCACAAAGUAGUGUAUUUGUUUAAAACCUACUAAGUAAGUUAUACAACAUUUUAUUGUUUUUCUUUUAGCCGACGACUUUUUUUGAUAAUAGCCGAUGAGAUUUUUUUUCAUCUACUAAAAUACUUUAGCCGACGAGUAAAAACUUUGGCCGACGAAGGAAAACUUUGGCCGACGAAAAAAAAAUUUCGUCGGCUAAAGUAUAGUAUAGCCGACGAAAGAAAA
rnacentral:lncRNA from 1 species